rnacentral:rRNA from 1 species
GACAGGUGCUGCUAUGGCUGUCGUCAGCUCGUGUCGUGAGUAGUGUUGGUAGUCCCGCAACGAGCGCAACCCUUUGUCUUUAAUUGCCAUCAUUUUAGUUUGGGGCACUUUAAAGAGACUGCCGGUGUUAAGCCGGAGAAGGUGGGGAUGACGUCAAGUCCUCAUGGCCUUUUAUGCCCAGGGCUACACACGUGCUACAAUGGGCGGUACAAAGAGAAGCAACCUCGCGAGGGUGAGCAAAUCUCAAAAAGCCGUUCUCAGUUCGGAUUGAAGUCUGCAACUCGACUUCAUGAAGUCGGAAUCGCUAGUAAUCGCGGAUCAGCAUGCCGCGGUGAAUACGUUCCCGGGCCUU